rnacentral:rRNA from 1 species
AUGCAAUUAGUAUCCUCGGGCCGGACUGCGGUGAACAUCAACGGCGAGAUAGGCCCCUUCUUCCCCACAUUCUGUAGGGUCCGCCAGGGCAACCCCUUCUCUUCGUUCCUCUUCAACAUGGUCGUCGAUGCGCUGGCAGCUAUCUUGGACAAAGCCAAGGCGGCUGGCCACAUUAAGGGCAUUGUCCCACAUCUAGUUGGAGGGAAUGGGAUCUCCCUCCUGCAAUAUGUGGACGACACCAUUAUCAUGGUG